GGCGACGAUACAUAGCCGACCUGAGAGGGUGAUCGGCCACACUGGGACUGAGACACGGCCCAGACUCCUACGGGAGGCAGCAGUGGGGAAUUUUGGACAAUGGGCGAAAGCCUGAUCCAGCCAUUCCGCGUGCAGGAUGAAGGCCCUCGGGUUGUAAACUGCUUUUGUACGGAACGAAAAGCCUUCUUCUAAUACAGGAGGGUCAUGACGGUACCGUAAGAAUAAGCACCGGCUAACUACGUGCCAGCAGCCGUCGACGCGGCCG
rnacentral:rRNA from 1 species